rnacentral:rRNA from 1 species
UUGACCUCGAAUCAGGUAGGGAUACCCGCUGAACUUAAGCAUAUCAAUAAGCGGAGGAAAAGAAACCAACCGGGAUUACCCUAGUAACGGCGAGUGAAGCGGUAACAGCUCAAAUUUGAAAUCUGGCUCCCUGCGGAGUCCGAGUUGUAAUUUGUAGAAGAUGCUUUGGGUGCUCGGCCCGGUCUAAGUUCCUUGGAACAGGACGUCGUAGAGGGUGAGAAUCCCGUAUGCGGCCGGGGUGGGUGCUCGUGUAAAGCUCUUUCGACGAGUCGAGUUGUUUGGGAAUGCA